UACGGAGGGUGCGAGCGUUGUCCGGAAUCACUGGGCGUAAAGGGCGCGUAGGCGGCCUGAUAAGUAGGGGGUGAAAUCCUGCGGCUUAACCGCAGGGCUGCCUUCUAAACUGUCAGGCUGGAGCACAGUAGAGGCAGGUGGAAUUCCCGGUGUAGCGGUGGAAUGCGUAGAGAUCGGGAAGAACAUCAGUGGCGAAGGCGGCCUGCUGGGCAGUAGCUGACGCUGAAGCGCGACAGCGUGGGGAGCAAACAGG
rnacentral:rRNA from 1 species